rnacentral:rRNA from 1 species
GCUUACGGCCACACCGGCCUGAGUACGCCUGAUCUCGUCCGAUCUUGGAAGCUAAGCAGGGUCGGGCCUGGUUAGUACUUGGAUGGGAGACCACCUGGGAAUACCAGGUGCUGUAAGCU